GAUUCACUAAAAGCCAGUUGUGCCAGCGAUGGCGCGUUGAAGAAGCCUGAAAGUACACAAACCCUCAUUAGCCUCUCCCGCCCACCCAGCUCAGCCUAGGUCGCCGAUGCUUUUGACGUAGCUUUGAAUGGGUUCUCCGGCCUCAGGUCCUUCAUCGCGAGAACUCACAGGAUUAGACGCGAAAGAAGCCGAAGUGCGCUUUCCGAUAAAUGACAGCCCACCGGUAGUCCCGGGCUUAACUCAGGUUUAAUGCGCAUCCCGGAUCCCAGUGCGCCUGCGCGCUUGUGACUCCGCCCCCGCCAUACCAGGGGUAGCGUUCUCCAUGCUGCCUUCACGCUUCACCCGCCAGCUGCUGUGGCCCUUCCUACGGGGAUCAGCUCCCGCCGUAGCGUGCCAUGUCCCUCGGGAGCCGCUUCUCGAGAGAUGUGCGGUCGCCUCCUCCUCCCAGCACCCAUCGGGCCUGGGACAUAGGGUUUCCCAUGGCUCAACGGCGACUGGGGGUUACGAAGGGAGGACUGACAUGGAGGAGCAUUUUCUGUUCCCCGAGUACAUCUCGGAGCCCGAGCCUGCACCGAUCCUCGAAAAGCAGCUGCGAGAGCUGCAGCAGCGGCAGGAGGAGGAGGAGCGACAGAAGCAGCAGCGGCGGGAAGAGCGGCAGCAGCAGAAGGUACGGGCCAGGAGCCGGCUACACCCGGUCGUGGGACACCCGGACCCGACGGUGCCGCCCAGCGGCCUGAACUGCUCGGGCUGCGGAGCGGAGCUGCACUGCCAGGACCCCGCCGUGCCCGGCUACCUGCCCCGCGAGAAGUUCCUCAGCGCAGCGGCGCAGACUGACGGCGGGCUGGCGCGAACGGUGUGCCAGCGCUGCUGGCUGCUGGUGCACUACCGGCGCGCCCUGCGCGUGCAGAUGAGCCGCGAGCAGUAUCUGGAGCUGGUGAGCGCCGCGCUACGUCGCCCGGGGCCCGCCCUGGUGCUCUACAUGGUGGACCUGCUCGAUCUGCCCGACGCCCUGCUGCCCGACCUGCCCGCGCUGGUGGGCCCCAGGCAACUCAUCGUGCUGGGGAACAAGGUGGACCUGCUGCCCCGGGACGCGCCCGGCUACCUGCAGCGGCUCCGGGAGCGACUGUGGGACGACUGUACCCGCGCAGGGCUCCCGCGGCCCUCUGGCCACCGGGGACCACAACACGCCGGUGAGGACCCGCAGCAAGACGGGAGGGAGAAUUCGAUUCCUUCCGCCAGGACCCGCACGGUGCUCAGGGAUGUACGGCUCAUUAGCGCCAAGACUGGCUAUGGGGUGGAAGAAUUGAUCACAGCGCUUCAGCGCUCCUGGCGUUACCGCGGCGACGUGUACCUGGUUGGCGCCACCAACGCUGGCAAGUCCACUCUCUUCAACACGCUCCUAGAAUCCGACUACUGCAUCGCCAAGGGCGCUGAGGCUAUCGACAGAGCCACCAUCUCCCCUUGGCCUGGUACUACAUUAAACCUUUUGAAGUUUCCUAUUUGCAACCCAACACCUUACAGGAUGUUUGAAAGACAAAAAAGGCUUAAAAAAACUGCAGCUGAAGCUGAAGAAGAUCUUAGUCUGCAAGAACAAAAUCAACUUAAUCUCUUGAAAAAGCAUGGUUAUGUAGUAGGAAGAGUUAGAAGAACAUUCUUGUAUUCAGAAGAACGGAAAGAUGAAGCUGCCUUUGAGUUUGAUGCUAAUGCACUUGCCUUUGACAUGGAAAAUGAACCUGUUAUGGUUGCAGAUAAAUCCACCAAACGAGUAGAAUUGACCCCGCAAGAUGUGAAAGAUGCCCACUGGUUUCAUGACACCCCUGGAAUUACAAAAGAAAAUUGUAUUUUAAACCUUCUAACAGAAAAAGAAGUAAAUAUUGUUUUGCCAACACAUUCCAUUGUUCCAAGAACUUUCGUGCUUAAACCAGGAAUGGUUCUGUUUUUGGGUGCCAUAGGCCGCCUAGAUUUUCUGCAGGGAAAUCAGUCAGCUUGGUUUACAGUUGUGGCUUCCAACCUCCUCCCUGUGCAUAUUACUUCCUCUGACAGGGCAGAUACUAUGUAUCAGAAGCAUGCAGGUCAUACAUUACUCAAGGUGAGGCAGCACACUUGGAAGAUCACACAGUUGGGUUAACCUACACUGUGACAGUCCCGCAGCCCUGCUAAGGAAGCCUUUGUUGGACAUACCAUUUUUGUUAUAUGAUCAGCUAGCUCUCUCCUCCCCUGUUCUGCUUGAGGAUUUGGGCUAUAAAGUAAAGUGGACCCUAUGAGAAAAGGGAUGUUGUUUGGACUGAUCCUAGAAUAGCUACAGACUUGUGUUUUCUCUAAACUACACUGGCCAAUACCGUAGCCACGAGUGGCUAUUUCAAUUUAAAUAAAAUCUAAAAUUUAGCUUUUCAGUUGCACUAGCUACUUUCCAACUGCCCAGCAGUCACAUCAUUGCAGAAAGUUGUAUUGGAUUAAUGCUGAGCGAAGAGAAGGCACACAUUUUCUCACAGCUGGGGGCGUUACUGGCAUCCAGUGGACAGAGGCCAGGGAUAAUGCUGAACAUCCUGCGGUGCACAAGACAGACCCUCACAACGAAGAAUUAUCUGGUCCAAAAUGUCCAUAAGGCCAAGGCUGAGAAGUCCUGGUCCGAGUGGAAAAGCUCUCCUCCCAGGUUCUAACUCCCAGACACUUAAGAUUAUCCUGGCUUUUUACUUCUGCUCUACUAGUUCCGUCCUUCCCCCUGUUCCAAUGGGUGGAGAAGAACGAAUGGCAGGAUUUCCUCCUCUUGUUGGUGAAGACAUUACAUUAAAAGAAGGACUUGG